rnacentral:rRNA from 1 species
UGACUCCAUUCCGAACUCAGAAGUGAAACGAAAUAGCGCCGAUGGUAGUGUGGGGUUUCCCCAUGUGAGAGUAGGAUAUCGCCAGGC